GUGACCUUAGUUUAUUUAGAAUGUCAAUUUGUCUCAUUGAUGGUGAUUUUGCUGAUUAGGUUGCU
rnacentral:tRNA from 1 species